rnacentral:lncRNA from 1 species
UAUACAAAGGAGGUAAGAAUUUUGACGACAUGUGAUCUUGUUAUAUGCCAGCAGUUAUAACAGAAGCCUCUGUGUGUGUCCAACAGUGGGACACGGCAUUCAGUGUGAUCCUCUGGCUUUGCUAAGUUACCACAGCUUUGAAUGUUUCUUGGAAAAGUAAAUACCCAUUCAAACAUGGAUGCAAGAAGAAAUAAUACCCAAACCUUUGGAACUGUGCUUAAUGUGACAUCACUACAAGAAAAAACACAGACCACUGAUGUGAUAGACUUUGGAGAAAGGUUAAGGGAAAGGUAAAAAGCUGAGCCAAAACUCAUACUGUAGCACUGAAUGAGUGAAACUUUAGGAAGGAGGAUUGGGAUGGCAUGGUUCCCUCCUGUGCUGGAUUUCACUUUGGGAGAGAUUAAAAUUAGAGAGUGAUUCCCCGUAGUGUGUCACCACCACCAAUGCCAGGAAGCACCGGAAUUGCUCCCAGCCAUGAGCACUUCCCCCAUUCCAUGAUGAGAGGUAGGUGGGGAGCUGAGCCCUCAGCAAGCCACUCUGCCCAGCACCUGGCAGCCUGAGGACUGGGGAGGCCCACUGUGCCAUCAGCAGGUGCAUCUAACGAUGAAGGACAGGGCAAACUCCUCACCCCAACACUGCGGCAAACGCAGCAAAAGGCACAGACCCAGCGAGCUCACCCCAUGGAGCGCCCAAAGUGUUUUCAUCGCGCAGAUGCUGUUGCAGAGAUGGACUGUAGCUGUGCUGUCAUUAGAAAAGGGAAACACAACCACCGAUUGCAGAUAGAGAAGUAAGGAAGAGCCAGCUUGCCAGAAGGUUCAGUACAUCUUUCCAGUGGAAAAAACAUUCGGAUAAGUGAGAAUCUCUUCUGGAGCAGUGUGUAAUACGUACCUCUACAGGCUCAUUUAUCUGUGAAAUAAAGGGAACUGUGAAUCAUUUCCCAGAAUAAAUACAUUAAAGUUUCAUGCAUUAUACUUACGCACUGCUCCCAGUUUUAUUUCCAUGGAAUACAGCAUCUCUUUUUACAGCUGCUUCCUUUUGAUGGCAUCAAAAUUAUCGUAUAUGCCUA